rnacentral:rRNA from 1 species
UACGGAGGGGGCGAGCGUUAUUCGGAAUUAUUGGGCGUAAAGGGCGCGUAGGCGGCUGAACAAGUCAAAGGUGAAAUCCCCCGGCUCAACUGAGGAACUGCCUUUGAAACUGUUCGGCUUGAGGCCGGGAGGGGGUAGCGGAAUUCCCAGUGUAGCGGUGAAAUUCGUAGAUAUCGGGAGGAACACCAGUGGCGAAGGCGGCGACCUGGACGGACACUGACGCUGAGACGCGAAAGCGUGGGGAGCAAACAGG